rnacentral:rRNA from 1 species
GACGAACGCUGGCGGCGUGCUUAACACAUGCAAGUCGAACGAAGUGGCGAACGGGUGAGUAACGCGUAAUCAACCUGCCCUUCAGAGGGGGACAACAGUUGGAAACGACUGCUAAUACCGCAUACUGAAGGAGGGGAUUGCGUCUGAUUAGCUAGUUGGAGGGGUAACGGCCCACCAAGGCGAUGAUCCGUAGCCGGUCUGAGAGGAUGAACGGCCACAUUGGGAAUUGUACACGGGCCAGACCCCUACGGGAGGCAGCCGUGGGGAAUCUUCCGCAAUGGGGGAAAGUCUGGCGGAGCAACGGCGCGUUAGUGAUGACGGGCUUCGGGGUGUAAAGCUCUGUUAAUCGGGACGCGGUACCGGAAUAGAAAGCCACGGCUAACUACGUGCCAGCAGCCGCGGUAAUAC